GCAGUCGAGCGACCCCUCAGGGUGAGCGGCGCACGGGUGCGUAACGCGUGGGAAUCUACAUCGAGGUACGGAAUAACUCACCGAAAGGUGCGCUAAUACCGUAUAAUGGCUCCGGCCCAAAGCUCCGGCGCCUCGGGAUGAGCCCGCGUCUGAUUAGGUAGUUGGUGGGGUAAGAGCCUACCAAGCCGACGAUCAGUAGCUGGUCUGAGAGGAUGAUCAGCCACACUGGGACUGAGACACGGCCCAGACUCCUACGGGAGGCAGCAGUAAGGGAUAUUGCACAAUGGAGGAAACUCUGAUGCAGCCAUGCCGCGUGAGUGAUGACGGCCUUCGGGUUGUAAAGCUCUUUCAGUAGUGAAGAUAAUGACGGUAACUACAGAAGAAGCCCCGGCUAACUUCGUGCCAGCAGCCGCGGUAAUACGAAGGGGGCGAGCGUUGUUCGGAAUCACUGGGCUUAAAGCGUACGUAGGCGGAUUGGCAAGUCAGAAGUGAAAUCCUAGGGCUUAACCCUAGAACUGCUUUUGAAACUGCCUGUCUGGAGUCCCGGAGAGGUUGGCGGAAUUCCGAGUGUAGAGGUGAAAUUCGCAGAUAUUCGGAGGAACACCAGUGGCGUAGGCGGCCAACUGGACGGGUACUGACGCUGAGGUACGAAAGCGCGGGGAUCAAACAGGAUUAGAUACCCUGGUAGUCCACGCUGUAAACGAUGUGUGUUAGCUGUUGGAGUCCUUAGGGCUUCAGUGGCGGAGGGAAACCAUUAAACACACCGCCUGGGGAGUACGG
rnacentral:rRNA from 1 species